rnacentral:rRNA from 1 species
AGUGAACGCUGGCGGUAGGCCUAACACAUGCAAGUCGAACGGCAGCACAGUAAGAGCUUGCUCUUACGGGUGGUGAGUGGCGGACGGGUGAGGAAUACAUCGGAAUCUACUUUUUCGUGGGGGAUAACGUAGGGAAACUUACGCUAAUACCGCAUACGACCUACGGGUGAAAGCAGGGGAUCUUCGGACCUUGCGCGAUUGAAUGAGCCGAUGUCGGAUUAGCUAGUUGGCGGGGUAAAGGCCCACCAAGGCGACGAUCCGUAGCUGGUCUGAGAGGAUGAUCAGCCACACUGGAACUGAGACACGGUCCAGACUCCUACGGGAGGCAGCAGUGGGGAAUAUUGGACAAUGGGCGCAAGCCUGAUCCAGCCAUACCGCGUGGGUGAAGAAGGCCUUCGGGUUGUAAAGCCCUUUUGUUGGGAAAGAAAAGCAGCAGGUUAAUACCCCGCUGUUCUGACGGUACCCAAAGAAUAAGCACCGGCUAACCUCGUG